AGGGUUUGAUCCUGGCUCAGGACGAACGCUGGCGGCGUGCCUAAUACAUGCAAGUCGAGCGAAUCAUAAGGUGCUUGCACCUUAUGGUUAGCGGCGGACGGGUGAGUAACACGUGGGCAACCUGCCUGUAAGACUGGGAUAACUUCGGGAAACCGGAGCUAAUACCGGAUAAUCCUUUUCCUCUCAUGAGGAAAAGCUGAAAGUCGGUUUCGGCUGACACUUACAGAUGGGCCCGCGGCGCAUUAGCUAGUUGGUGAGGUAACGGCUCACCAAGGCGACGAUGCGUAGCCGACCUGAGAGGGUGAUCGGCCACACUGGGACUGAGACACGGCCCAGACUCCUACGGGAGGCAGCAGUAGGGAAUCUUCCGCAAUGGACGAAAGUCUGACGGAGCAACGCCGCGUGAGCGAUGAAGGCCUUCGGGUCGUAAAGCUCUGUUGUUAGGGAAGAACAAGUACCGGAGUAACUGCCGGUACCUUGACGGUACCUAACCAGAAAGCCACGGCUAACUACGUGCCAGCAGCCGCGGUAAUACGUAGGUGGCAAGCGUUGUCCGGAAUUAUUGGGCGUAAAGCGCGCGCAGGCGGUCCUUUAAGUCUGAUGUGAAAGCCCACGGCUCA
rnacentral:rRNA from 1 species